GCUCUGGCUCCCCUUGAAAACCCCUCUCCUUGGUGCUGAACCAAUGCCCUAGGUGUGUGUAACACCCUCCGGCUGGAGGCACCCAUCACCUGGAGCCCGUGCCUCUGCCACUGGGAAACAUUUCAGCCUUUCCACUGGACAUGAGCCGAGGCCCCUCUCCCUUCUUCUCUGGUCUCUUCACCUCAAG
rnacentral:lncRNA from 1 species